AAAAGGAGAAUCGUGGAACUUCGUGGCUGACCAAGACGAAGAGAGUUGCUCUUGCUAGCACAGUUUACUACAUAUGGCUUACGAGGAAUAGGAAGAUUUUUGAAGACCUCCCGGCCGACUUGGAUUCUAUUGCUAGAAGGAUCAAGACCCACGUAUACAAAGUCAUGUUUACUUUGUAUCCGGAUGUCUUGAUUCUUUAUGAAUCCUUGGCCAUGGAGCUUUGAUUUCUUUGUAUUAGCUUUCUACUGUCUUUGCCCGGGUAUGCCUGGAGUACUUGUUUAGGUUUUUGGACAUUGAUUUGCCCGGGUAUGCCCGGUGUACUUGUAUUUGAUUAUGGACAUUGUCUCGCCCGAGUAUGCCCGGUGUAUUUGUACAUGGUACAUUUUUUAUCUAUAUAUUUACAUUUACCGAUCAAAAAAAA
rnacentral:lncRNA from 1 species